rfam:Pteropus alecto contig11084, whole genome shotgun sequence.
GGUUCCAUGGUGUAGCAGUUAGCGUAUCUGCUUUACACGCAGAAGGUCCUGAGUUCACGCCCCGGUGGAGCCA